UACGUAGGGUGCAAGCGUUAAUCGGAAUUACUGGGCGUAAAGCGUGCGCAGGCGGUUUUGUAAGUCUGUCGUGAAAUCCCCGGGCUCAACCUGGGAAUUGCGAUGGAGACUGCAAGGCUAGAAUCUGGCAGAGGGGGUAGAAUUCCACGUGUGAGCAGUGAAAUGCGUAGAGAUGUGGAGGAACACCGAUGGCGAAGGCAGCCCCCUGGGUCAAGAUUGACGCUCAUGCACGAAAGCGUGGGAGCAAGAGG
rnacentral:rRNA from 1 species